rnacentral:rRNA from 1 species
UGGGGAAUCUUGCACAAUGGGGGCAACCCCGAUGCAGCGACGCCGCGUGAGCGAUGAAGCCCUUCGGGGCGUAAAGCUCUUUCGACCGGAACGAUAAUGGCGGUACCGGGAGAAGAAGCUGCGGCUAACUACGUGCCAGCAGCCGCGGUAAUACGUAGGCAGCAAGCGUUGUUCGGAGUUACUGGGCGUAAAGAGUGCGUAGGCGGUUUUCUAAGUUCGGUGUGAAAUCUCCCGGCUUAACUGGGAGGGUGCGCCGAAGACUGGGAAGCUGGAGUGUGGGAAAGGCAGGCGGAAUUCCUGGUGUAGCGGUGAAAUGCGUAGAUAUCAGGAGGAACACCGGCGGUGUAGACGGCUUGCUAGACCAUAACUGACGCUGAGGCACGAAAGCGUGGGUAGCAAACA